AUCUAACUGACCAGUCCCAAAUAGGACGAAACACGUAUUAUGGAU
rfam:Schistosoma curassoni strain Dakar, Senegal genome assembly, scaffold: SCTD_contig0006479